UACAGAGGGUGCGAGCGUUGUCCGGAAUCACUGGGCGUAAAGGGCGCGUAGGCGGCCUGAUAAGUAGGGGGUGAAAUCCUGCGGCUUAACCGCAGGGCUGCCUUCUAAACUGUCGGGCUCGAGCACAGUAGAGGCAGGUGGAAUUCCCGGUGUAGCGGUGGAAUGCGUAGAGAUCGGGAAGAACAUCAGUGGCGAAGGCGGCCUGCUGGGCUGUUGCUGACGCUGAGGCGCGACAGCGUGGGGAGCAAACAGG
rnacentral:rRNA from 1 species